GAUGAACGCUGGCGGCGUGCCUAAUACAUGCAAGUCGAGCGAACAGACGAGGAGCUUGCUCCUCUGACGUUAGCGGCGGACGGGUGAGUAACACGUGGAUAACCUACCUAUAAGACUGGGAUAACUUCGGGAAACCGGAGCUAAUACCGGAUAAUAUAUUGAACCGCAUGGUUCAAUAGUGAAAGACGGUUUUGCUGUCACUUAUAGAUGGAUCCGCGCCGCAUUAUCUAGUUGGUAAGGUAACGGCUUACCAAGGCAACGAUGCGUAGCCGACCUGAGAGGGUGAUCGGCCACACUGGAACUGAGACACGGUCCAGACUCCUACGGGAGGCAGCAGUAGGGAAUCUUCCGCAAUGGGCGAAAGCCUGACGGAGCAACGCCGCGUGAGUGAUGAAGGUCUUCGGAUCGUAAAACUCUGUUAUUAGGGAAGAAAAAAUGUGUAAGUAACUAUGCACGUCUUGACGGUACCUAAUCAGAAAGCCACGGCUAACUACGUG
rnacentral:rRNA from 1 species